GUUUCUUGUAGAGCCUGCAGAACUAUCGAAUGUUAUACUAUAUAGGAGGCUGGUUGGAAUGAAGUAAUGUUUUAAAGCACAGGAUAAAGUUGCUCCCUGAAGUACCUUUAUCUGCCUGAAGUCUGGACCCACCAAAGGAGAAAGCAAUUGCUUCUGGUUCCUUCCCUAAGUUUUCAUUAACUGAAGUCAUACUGCAGAAAGAAAGAGUGAAGCCUGUCAACACACCUGGACAGACUUUUGUCACAAACCAUUGUCUGCUCUGCGGCCCAACAGACUUUGUCUCAGAACAUUGUAUGCUCUUCAAGCCCAUUAAAUUCCCCUAAAAAUCAUUUACUACCCCCCUAAUAUUAUCAACGCUUUCCCAUCUCUCUUUCCCCUAAGAAGAAGGGUACAGAACCAUCUGUACCUCAUUGCAUGGUAGGGUAAUCACUCUGUGAUUCUCCCCUGGGCACAUUAAUAAAUGUGUAUGCCUUUUCUCCUAUUAAUCUACUGUUUGUCAGUUGAUUUUCAGUGAACCUUCAGAAGGUGAAGGUGAAAUUUUCCUUUGGC